UCUAGAACUUCAGAUAUGGACACAACACUAAACAAUAUCUGAGCUGUAUGACAGAUUUGGAAGUUUCUUUUGAUGCAGAUUUGGACUCCAAAAUGGAAGAAUUGAGUCUUGAACUUUUCAUGAAUGUUUUAGGCCUAUGUCUUAGCUUUCCAUC
rfam:Populus trichocarpa scaffold_4_contig_372, whole genome shotgun sequence.